AAAAAAGCUAAGCAUGUGUAUGGAUCAGUUAGUAAACAUUAGAUAGGGUUCAAACGUAGAUAGUAAGAUUUCAGAAAACAUGCCCUUCCAUAUGUAGCUUGAGUCAAGAAGAUUCAGCAGAUCAGAAACUUACGAAUUUUGAUUUUGAUUUUAAGAGCAAUGGACAUUAUAGGGUUAGUGUGUUUUGAGACAGUCUCAUGUAACCCAGGCUGUCCUUAGAUUUACUGAGUAGCUCAGGGUGACCUUAAACUUCUGAUCCUCUUGCCUUUGCUUCUCAAGUGCUGAAAUUACUGGUGUGGGCCUCCAUGCCAAGUUUUCAUUGCAGGGACAGUAAUAUGAAACAGAACAAUCUGGAAAGAUCAUUCUGGCUAUUCCCUAAAGAUAGAUUAGAAACAAAAAUAAUCUGUGGAGUAGAGAGUCAUUUAUUUUGGCAAUAAUUUUUUUCUUUAACCUUCUUGAGCAGUUCUUUGUUUUAUGAUCUUUAGUUACUGACUUUAUUGUAGAAACAUAGCAAUAGUAUUUAUUUAAGCAUACCGAAAAUUAAUACAUUAAAAGUAAGAUUUAAUGUCUCACUCCAUCUCACAGCAGGGUUAUUCCAGGGCAGAAGUGCCAGGUAGAUUUGUCUUGCUUGUGAGUUCCAUGCUGGCUCUGCUCUGGCAGUGAGCUGAGAAGGUUCGAAGGUGGUGUGUGCAGUGUGUGAAGUGAGUGAGUGAGUGGUGGAGGCCUCCAGUCUACUGACAUCUCAUCUCAUGCUUACCUUCCCUUUAACUGGUAAAUUGUUCCUCUUGCCUUAUCCCCCGUAACCAUUUGUUUGCCAAGUUAUGUGGAUUCUGCUUUUUAAAUUUAUUUUGAAUCUAAUUUCCAUUUCCCCAUUUUAUCAUUUUUCAUGUGGAAUGUCCUGCACCAGUCCUUUACUCGUGUGGCCCUCCAAACACCGAGGACUGCUGCCUUUGGAGUCUAGUUAAAAAAUUACUUAUUUACUUUUAUUUUAUGUGCAUUGGUGUUCUGCCUGCUUAUGUGUAUGAGAGUGUCAAAUCCCGUGAAACUGGAGUUACAGACAGUUGGGAGCUGCCAUGUGGGUGCUGGGAAUUGAACCCAUGUCCUUUGAAAGAGGAGCCAGUGCUCUUAACCACUGAGCCAUAUCUCCAGCCCCCAGAUUUUGUUUUAUUUAUUAAAUUUUAAAAUUAUUUUAUAUGCUUUAUUUUUUAAUUUCAAUACUGUUUUUAAUGUGUGUGUGUGUGUGGAGAUAAGAGGAGGGCAUCAGAUCCCUGACUGGAGUUUUAGGUGUUUGUGAACUGAUUGAUUGGGUCCUGAAGCUGAACCUAGGUCAUCUGGAAAAGCCUAGAGUUUUAUAUCCUGAUCCUCAGUCACUAGGUAGACAGAGACAGACAGAGACAAGGGGCCUGAUGUGAUCUUUUGAAACCUGAAAGCCCACUCCAGGGACACACCCCCUUCAACAAGGCCACACCUCCUAGUUCUCUGUCAGUUGGAAAAUAAGCAGGCAGCUGCAUGAGCCAAUCGGUGCCAUCUCAUUCAAACCACCACACUUACAUCUUAAAAGCAUCUUAAAAGCUUUUUUGUCUAGGAAUUUCCCAUGCCAAGAGAAUUAGGUAGGUUUGUUUUUGGUUUUGGGGUUUUUUUUUUGUUUGUUUGUUUUUUUGUUUUUUGUUUUUGGUGGUUUUUUAAAAUUCAGCUUCAUUCAUGUUCUCAGGACCCAGGCAGAAUAAAACAGAUGAUUGGCCAGACCUUAUAGGAUUUUUGUUUGUACAUUUUCUGAUUUUGUGUUCUUGUGUGAAUGUGUGUCUCUGUGUUUGUGUUCCUUGUGCUUUUUGUUGUUGUUACCUGUUCAUUUUCUAAUGAGAGAGAAAGGGUGUAGAUUUGUGUGGGUGGACAGGUAGGAAAACAUCUGGGAGGAGGGAAACUGUGAUUAGAAUAUAUUGUAUGAAAAAAAUGUAUUUACAAUUAAAAGGAAAAACUUUUUUUUUUGUUUUUGUUUUUUUUUGAGACAGCGUUUCCUCUGUGUAGCCCUGGAUGUCCUGUCACUUAUUUGUAGAUCAGGCUGGCCUUGAACCCAGAGAUCACCUGCCUCGGCCUUCUCUGUGCCACCACUGCCCAGCAAUAAAAAUAUUUUAAUUGAAAUAGAAUUAUAUCAUUUUAUUCUUUCCUUUUCUUCCUUUCAGCCCCCUCCAGGCACAAGUAUAUAAAUACCACCUCCUGACUUCCUUUUUUUGUUGAUAGUGUAUAUGUAGUUCCAGGGCUGGCCUCUCUGCACUCUGCACUGGACAGCCGUUAGGAAAGGUGAUCAUUCCUGGGAGAGGCUGAUCUGUCUUCCAGCAGUCAUUGCUGCCUGUAGUUCUGUGUGCUAGGAUGGGAUUCCAUUACAAUUUUACCCCUCUAUGUAAACACAUUCAUUGAUAAUGCAAUUGGGAGUAAAAUCUAAAAGCCAUUUCUUGGUGCUACACUUUUUCCUGCAAGGGUCUACCUCCUGAAGGUUCCAUCACCUUGCUAAACAGGACUCCUAACUGCAUGAACCUCUGUGAGACAUGCUCCCUUCAAAGUCCUAGCCCACAAAGGUCGUAGCUUGAGUGUUGAUUCCCAGAUGGUGGUGCUCUGUGUGGAGGUUUUUGGAACCUUUAAGAGGUGUGGCCUAGAUGAAUAGAUUGCUUGUGGACAGGUCUUGAAGAUUAUAUAGCUUGAUGUAUUUCCUGAUCCCCAAUACAGAUGCUACUGAUGGAAUCUCACUUGGCAUUCCUCCCUACCAUGAAGAACACUCUAUCCUUGUGGACCAAUAUAAGUAUCUUUUCUCUUACCUCUGUCAUGUGUUUUGCCACAGGAAGGAGGAAAGUAGCUACUGUAGGUACGAAUGUAAUUCACAGGGUCAUACAUCACAAACAAAAGGAUAAGCCAGGUGUGGUAGCCAUGCUUUUAAUCCCAGUACUCAAGACACAAGCAGGAAGGUCUUUUUGAGUUCAAGGGGAAUUGGCAGGGUGGGAAAAGUAUGAAAUUGUC
rnacentral:lncRNA from 1 species